GCAUGCCUAACACAUGCAAGUCGAACGGCAGCACAGUGGUAGCAAUACCAUGGGUGGCGAGUGGCGGACGGGUGAGUAAUGCAUCGGGACCUACCUGAACGUGGGGGAUAACGUAGGGAAACUUACGCUAAUACCGCAUACGUCCUACGGGAGAAAGCGGGGGAUCUUCGGACCUCGCGCGGUCAGACGGACCGAUGUUCGAUUAGCUAGUUGGUAGGGUAAUGGCCUACCAAGGCGACGAUCGAUAGCUGGUCUGAGAGGAUGAUCAGCCACACUGGAACUGAGACACGGUCCAGACUCCUACGGGAGGCAGCAGUGGGGAAUAUUGGACAAUGGGCGCAAGCCUGAUCCAGCAAUGCCGCGUGUGUGAAGAAGGCCUUCGGGUUGUAAAGCACUUUUAUCGGGAGCGAAAUACUAUCGGUUAAUAACCGGUGGGGCUGACGGUACCCGAGGAAUAAGCACCGGCUAACUUCGUGCCAGCAGCCGCGGUAAUAC
rnacentral:rRNA from 1 species